CCAAAAACUUUUUUUAAAGUCAUCAAAAACUCAUAUAUAUAUAUAUGUGUACUUCAUAUGUAAAAUGUACAACUCGUAAACAAACGCGUCCCGCGAGCUGUUCACUGUGCUCGUGAUAAUCUAUCUGAGGGUUUCUGAGUCGUAUGAGCUGUGAGUUAAGAGGAGCGAUGGCUUCCCAGAGAGCAGCUCGAGUUGUGACGUGAACGAGAGCUGCAGCCGGUCGCUCGUGACUCGUGUGGGAAAAGAUGUGCCAAAAAGUAGGAUCGGCACUCAACGCACCCGCCAUCUUGUGCCUUUAUCAAAGAUCUGACAUCGCCAUAACAACAGUCAGCGUUACAGGAGAAGCGAGCGACCACGUUCAUCCCCCCGGAGAGCUGGACCACACCAAACCGUCACGUCACGAGCUCGACCAACCGUCACGUCCAGCACCGUACAAGCAAGCACGCGAGACCACAUACGUUGUUGUUGUUGACUCCCGUUGCUUGGUUCUUGUCGCCAGGACUACCGUGACUAUGGCGCCUU